UGUCGCUGCUCCCGUUGGAGAUAAUUGAUGGUUGCUUUUUGGAAAAAGUGACUAUUUCGCACUUGAUAAGGACCCUAAUUUGAGGUCGAAACGUAGUGCUACCAAUAUUUUGUUUCACCAGUUCUUGGUCGUAAAUAAAGAAUUAUCA